ensembl:misc_RNA Y_RNA Y RNA
AAUUGGUCCAAAGGUAGUGAGUUAUCUCACCUGAUUGCUUGCUCACAGUCAGUUACAGAUUGAACUCCUUGUUCUACUCUUCCCCACUUCUCACUACUGCACAAAUGGACUAUGAG